AUGCUAAUUAGGGGUGGGCGUGGCUCUGAGGUCACGGCCCCGCCCCUUUUGCCCCUCCUCCCCCCAGAGAAGCCCCCGGAGGAGCCGCCGGCGAAGCUGCUGGACGAUUUGUUCCGCAAGACCAAAGCGGCGCCGUGCAUCUAUUGGCUGCCGCUGACCGACUCCCAGCUGCAGCAGAAGCAGGCGGAGCGCGCGGCGCGGGCGCGGGCUUUGCUCAUUAGCAUGAAUUUGCAUACACAGCUGCAGCAGAAGCAGGCGGAGCGCGCGGCGCGGGCGCGGGCUUUGCUCAUUAGCAUGAAUUUGCAUACAGCUGCAGCAGAAGCAGGCGGAGCGCGCGGCGCGGGCGCGGGCUUUGCUCAUUAGCAUGAAUUUGCAUACGCAGCUGCAGCAGAAGCAGGCGGAGCGCGCGGCGCGGGCGCGGGCUGGCUCAUUUGCAUACAUUUGCAUACGCAGCUGCAGCAGAAGCAGGCGGAGCGCGCGGCGCGGGCGCGGGCUUUGCUCAUUAGCAUGAAUUUGCAUACGCAGCUGCAGCAGAAGCAGGCGGAGCGCGCGGCGCGGGCGCGGGCUUUGCUCAUUAGCAUGAAUUUGCAUACAGCUGCAGCAGAAGCAGGCGGAGCGCGCGGCGCGGGCGCGAGCUUUGCUCAUUAGCAUGAAUUUGCAUACACAGCUGCAGCAGAAGCAGGCGGAGCGCGCGGCGCGGGCGCGGGAGCGGGAGCGGCGCCGGAAGGAGCAGGAGGAGGAGGAGCUGCGCACGCGCCAGGGGGGCGGGGCCAAGGAGGGCGGGGCCAAGGAGGGCGGGGCUUCCUCGGGCCCCGCCCACCCGCGCACUUCCGGGGGCGGGGCCGGAACCAGGGCGCCCCCCGGUGGCUCCUCCCGGAAGCGCCGCAGCCGCAGCCGCAGCCCCCGGCGGCGCUAAAGGGACCGAAAUCCGCGGAAUUCGGCCCAAAAUCCGGGAAUAAAAACGGAAAAAUACAGAGAAGGUUUCAGAGGGUUUUUUUGGAGGGAAAACGGUGGAUUUUGGGGAAAAAUACGGUAUUUUUGGAAAAAAAAAAUCGGAUUUUGGGGGAGGAAAAUGGGAUUUUUCGGGAAAAAAAUGGGAUUUUUGGGGAUGGAUUUGGAGGUUUUGGGGAAAAUAUUGAGAAUUUUGGGGGAGAAUUGUGGAUAUUUGGAAGAAAAAAGAAAAUUUAGGGAGAAAUUAUGGAUUUUUUGGAAAAAGAUUGGAUUUUGGGGAGAAAAUGGAAUUUUGAAGGUAAAUCUGGGUUUUGGGGAAGAAAUCAGGAAUUUUUUGGGAAAAAUUAGUAUUUUUUAGGUGAGGUUAACGUUUUUGAUGGAAAACCAGAAAAUUUGAGGAGAAUUUCUGGAUUUUUGGGAAAAAGAUUGGAUUUUUGGGGGAAAA
rnacentral:lncRNA from 1 species